ACAAAAACUAAUUUUUAAUACGAUGUAAUCGAACAACUACAGGAAGAACCAUUUAUUUUUAUAAUUGACAAUUAAAAUGUUAAAGAUUUAGACGGAAAAAUACAUAAAUGAGCGGUCACUGGGCUCCGAAAAUUAAAAAAGAAAACAUUAUUUGUUUUCUCAAUUCAUACUGCAGCAGGAAGUGGAAUAGAAUAUCAAUGGGUAUUAUAAAUAGCAAGGAUUUGAAGAAGAAGAUCAAUGAAGCCACUAGUAAUACCAGUCUAUCUAACCUGCGAUACGUAAUCACUGAAAAACCAAAAUGGAAAGUGUUCAAAAAGAGAGAGGUUACAGCUAUACCAGCGUACCACACCUCCCUAAAACCCUUGCGAGGGUGUCCCUGCGGCAACAACAGCCCUUGCAAACAGAAGGUCACUCCGAGAGGAGUCACUAUACACUACCCUCAGAAGAAGAAAAAAUUUCGAACGCUAGCUGGAAAGAGUUUUAAAUCACCAAAAGUAGACAAAGGCUAUCUAAGUACAAAAUUUAAUGUCAAUCUGAACGUGGAUCUCAAACGAUUCAUCCCAAAAUUGCCACAUAUGCCAAAAAUGCCGCAAAUGCCACAUUUGCCGCAUAUGCAUAUGCCACGCAUGCCACGUUUGCCACGGCGGAAGGCGAAAAGGAGUUUGAGCAGAGACUUUAUGUUUAUGCCAUUUUUAUUUUCAUGAGCCCACGGCCAGUGCCCAAAGUGAAAUUGUAUAGACCGAAAAAGUUCACAGCCUGGAGGUUAGACAAGAUCACCUACAACACGCCGUACUUAAACCCAACGUCCCCUCUACCGUCGACAUCGUAGCGAAACUUUGUGAACAGACAGACUCAGUAUCAUCCACAAACUAUGUAUAUUGUUUACCUAAUGUAGCCGUUUUAGAUAAAUAUACUCAACUGGAACAUA